UACGUAGGGUGCAAGCGUUGUCCGGAAUUAUUGGGCGUAAAGAGCCUGUAGGCGGUUUGUCGCGUCUGCUGUGAAAUUUCGGGGCUCAACCCCGAACUUGCAGUGGGUACGGGCAGACUAGAGUGUGGUAGGGGAGACUGGAAUUCCUGGUGUAGCGGUGAAAUGCGCAGAUAUCAGGAGGAACACCGAUGGCGAAGGCAGGUCUCUGGGCCAUAACUGACGCUGAGAAGCGAAAGCAUGGGGAGCGAACAGG
rnacentral:rRNA from 1 species